rnacentral:lncRNA from 1 species
UUCAAUAGCACCGCUGGAGGCAGCUGACGGCUGGUUGUAAUAUUUAUGCAAUUUCAAAGACGCAACGAACAAGGGUACCCACCCGUAGUGUGGCGGUGCAGUGGAGCAAAAAGAGCAACAACAGUAAAAACUCAAAGAAUACUCCAUUUAUUAUCACAUUGCCCCAAUGGAGAAAGGCGGCGCGGCUGCAAGAGCAACAGAGACAGGGAAGCGAGAGAGAGUAUUUAUGUGAGGGCCAUAAAAAUGCAGUCUUCUCCGUUGGAGUUGGUCGGCGCGGCAUAUUUGCCUUGGCUUUUGAUUUAUGCACAGCCCAACUGCGGCGGUGGCAGCAACAGCAGUAGCGGCAGCAAUGCCGUGGCAAGUGAGGCAAAAUAAUGCAAUAAAUUUGACAUUAUCGCGAGCAGCCAUAAGAUAUGGCGGAAUUGGUAAUGGCGCACGGCCAAGGCGCAGGCGUGGAAAGGUGAAAAUCUGCGUCCUCAGCACUUAAAAACAUAUGCAUGUAUGCAUAUAUGUACAUACAAAGCUAUUCAAGUGCGCUGCUGAUGCGGUAAUGGCAUGCGCGUAGGUCGUAAAAAUGUGAAAAUACUACAACAAACGUGAUAUAAGAAACACAUAAAAAAAUCAAUGCUCAAACGAAGACGUAUAAAUAUUCAAAAGGUUGCGCUACAAAAGAAGGCAGGAGCGCACAUAAAACGAGAAAAUGUUCAAUAUGACGAAAGCAGAUAAAUACGAAAAACGCUCAUAAAUGCGGCAAAUGGCUAAGACGCGAUGAACAUCAAAGUACACCUCAAGUAUGUAAGUAAGUACCAGGACCUGUUUUAGUACAAAACAAUGGCUGAAAUACAUAUGUACGAGUAUGUAAAAGCAGACAGUUUCAAGUACUCGGCGGCUCAUAAAAUGCGAACAGCGUCACUUGCGAGGAUAACGUCCAACGUAUUUUACGAUCUGCUAAGAAGGUGGUCCCCCAUAACCGCUGGCUCAAGAACAUGCAUAAAAAACGAUAUAAAAAGAGAAAUCCAAACAAGUCCAUUGCUUAUCGUAAUUGUUGGGUUAUUAUUCGCCUGAUUUUAUGUGGCGAGCAGCAUUGGCAAUCGCUGGCUAUAAGUCUGCGCUAUAAUCACAUAAGUGGCAUCUGAAACUAAAAACGUUCGCAUUCAACACAUUUAGCUGGUUAAAGUGAUCAGCAUAAAAAGGUUGUUGGAUAUAAACAUACUUUUAUGUAAUUCUGUACCCAUUGGAUUUACUCUUCCAUACAAUUAUAGAGGUUAAAGAUUUGAGCGCUUUUUAAGCAGUAUUAUUGGUGCAGUUUUUCGCAAAGUGAAAGUGCAGUUGAUUGCGGUAAUUGCUUGACAGUUAAAGUUUGAACGUUUUAAAUAUCUUAAUAAAGUAUUAAGGAAUUCGAAGUAAGAAAGGCUUGCCCGCGAAUACCAUUGUCGUAAAAAUAAGUCCAACUUAUAGUCCCCAAAAAUGUGAGUUUAAAAACAUUAUAGUAAUAGACAAUGGUAAGGCUCUCCGACUUGGCAUUUUUAAAAGAUAUAAUAUAAUCUCAAUAAAAGUUUUCAAAAAUUAUUACAGCAAUCUCAGCGUUUGUGGAGAAAAUUGGCAUAUGGAAGAGGCCAGAGGCUUAACUAUAGGGCGGCAUUGCUGGCAGUUAGGUACAAAUCGAUAAAGUGGUUACCGAGGUACACCUUUGUAGUUAUAAAGUGGGCGGUGCCACAGCAGUCUUAUUUUUUGAUUGAAGAUUAUUGUAACUGUAAACUUGAAGUAAAUUAGCGUCCUCAGUUAUUGAAAUAUCGGAGUUUUCGUAUUUCUGAAAUUUACCGUUAUACGGGA